GUCGAACGCUGGCGGCGUGCUUAACACAUGCAAGUCGAACGAAGUGGCGAACGGGUGAGUAACGCGUAAUCAACCUGCCCUUCAGAGGGGACAACAGGUGGAAACGACUGCUAAUUCCGCAUAGUUAAGGAGGGGAGUGCGUGUGCUUAGCUAGGUGGAGGGGUAACGGCCCACUAAGGCGAUGAUCAGGAGACGGUCUGAGGAGGUUAUCGGCCACAUGGGGACUGAUACACGGCCCAGACUCCUACUGGAGGCAGCAGUGGGGAAUCUUCCGAAAUGGACGAAAGUCUGACGUAGCAAAGCAGCGUGAGUGAUGACGGCCUUCGGGUUGUAAAGCUCUGUUAAUCGGGACGCGGUAACGGAAUAGAAAGCCACGGCUAACUACGUGCCAGCAGCCGCGGUAAUUC
rnacentral:rRNA from 1 species